AUACUGAAGCGGGUUACCGUUUCCUCCUCCAGGGUGUAUCUUCCCAACCAGGGAUCAAACCCACAUCUCCUGUGUUGGCGGGUGGACCCAUUACCACUGCACUACCUGGUGUCUUUCAAAUUUAAGGCCAAAUUCCAUAUUAGGGCUGCCUUCAUUUUAUUAAUAUAAAUAAUAUAUUCACUUUCUUAAAAUUGAAUCAUUAUUGUGUACUGAGUGUGACAUGAUUCCUGCCCCCCAGGAGCUGAAGCCAUCUUGAGGAGAGAAGGCUCAUCCAAGAAGUAGUGACAUCAAGCAAGAUGACAUGAGGGAGCCUUAUCAAUUUUUCCUGUCUCUGAAGUUCCAAUUUUAAUUGACUGAUAUACUGAUACCUGGCGUGCUGCAUUCCAUGGGGUCACAAAGAGUCGGACAUGACUGAGCAACUGAACUGAACUGAUGCUGAUACCAAUAUCAUACACAAAAAUAAACUCAAAAUGGAUUAAAAACCUAAAUGUAAGACUGGAUACGAUACAACUUUUAGAGGAGAUUAUAGGCGGAACACUCUCACAGCAAGAUCGUUUGAGAUCCACCACCUGGAGUGAUGAAAAUUAAAAUAGUUUUUAAAAUAUUUUAGACUCUCACCUAACUUCUAUUAAUUCAGACUUCUUAGUCCACCUGAGGGCUUGAACUGCAAUAACUUAACUGCAGGUCAUUCCCCUGGAUUUGACAAUCAUGACCUUCUUUAUGACUUCACUACAGCCCUGCAAUGAAACAUGGUGUACAAUUCCUGAGACAUUGGAAGAGGUGACUCAUUGCAAGUUGUCCAAACCCUUUCAUGAAACAAUGGCAUUUUCCAGAAUUCUAUCAAAAUUUAGCA